rnacentral:SRP_RNA from 1 species
GCCGGGCGCGGUGGCGCGUGUCUGUAGUCCCAGCUAUUCGGGAGGCUGAGGCUGGAGGAUCUCUUGAGUCCAGGAGUUGUGGGCUGUAGUGUGCCAUGCCGAUUGGGUGUCUGCACUAAGUUAGGCAUCAAUAUGGUGACCUCCCGGGAGCAGGGGACCACCAGGUUGCUUAAGGAGGGGUGAACCGGCCCAGGCUGGAAACGGAGCAGGUCAAAACUCCCAUGCUGAUCAGUAGUGGGAUUUCGCCUGUGAAUAGCCACUGCACUCCAGCCUUGGCAACAUAGCGAGACCCUGUCUCU